AUUGAACGCUGGCGGAAUGCUUUACACAUGCAAGUCGAACGGCAGCACGGGGCAACCUGGUGGCGAGUGGCGAACGGGUGAGUAAUACAUCGGAACGUGCCCAAUCGUGGGGGAUAACGUAGCGAAAGUUACGCUAAUACCGCAUACGAUCUACGGAUGAAAGCGGGGGAUCGCAAGACCUCGCGCGAAUGGAGCGGCCGAUGUCAGAUUAGGUAGUUGGUGGGGUAAAGGCUCACCAAGCCAACGAUCUGUAGCUGGUCUGAGAGGACGACCAGCCACACUGGAACUGAGACACGGUCCAGACUCCUACGGGAGGCAGCAGUGGGGAAUUUUGGACAAUGGGCGCAAGCCUGAUCCAGCCAUUCCGCGUGCAGGAUGAAGGCCUU
rnacentral:rRNA from 1 species